CGGAGGGUGCAAGCGUUGUCCGGAUUUAUUGGGUUUAAAGGGUGCGUAGGCGGCCCGUUAAGUCCGGGGUGAAAGCCUCUUGCUCAACAAGAGAACUGCCCUGGAUACUGGCGGACUUGAGUCCAGACGAGGUUGGCGGAAUGGAUGGUGUAGCGGUGAAAUGCAUAGAUACCAUCCAGAACCCCGAUUGCGAAGGCAGCUGACUAGGCUGGUACUGACGCUGAGGCACGAAAGCGUGGGGAGCGAACAGGAUU
rnacentral:rRNA from 1 species